rnacentral:tRNA from 1 species
GCCCAGGUGGCGGAAUUGGUAGACGCGCUGGUCUCAAACACCAGUGGAUUCAACCCCGUAUCGGUUCGACUCCGAUCCUGGGCA